AUGCCGGAUGCUCCGACUCCUCGCAUGGGGUGUCGGGAAAGAUUUCAUCGGUAUGGGAUGGGGUCGCGUCCUAUCAGGUAGUCGGCGGGGUAACGGCCCACCGAGCCUACGACGGGUAGCCGGCCUGAGAGGGCGACCGGCCACAUUGGGACUGAGAUACGGCCCAGACUCCUACGGGAGGCAGCAGUGGGGAAUAUUGCACAAUGGGCGCAAGCCUGAUGCAGCGACGCCGCGUGCGGGAUGACGGCCUUCGGGUUGUAAACCGCUUUUGAUCGGGAGCAAGCCUUCGGGUGAGUGUACCUUUCGAAUAAGCACCGGCUAACUACGUGCCAGCAGCCGCGGUAAUACGUAGGGUGCAAGCGUUAUCCGGAAUUAUUGGGCGUAAAGGGCUCGUAGGCGGUUCGUCGCGUCCGGUGUGAAAGUCCAUCGCUUAACGGUGGAUCUGCGCCGGGUACGGGCGGGCUGGAGUGCGGUAGGGGAGACUGGAAUUCCCGGUGUAACGGUGGAAUGU
rnacentral:rRNA from 1 species